GAUGAAGAACGCAGCGAAAUGCGAUAAGUAAUGUGAAUUGCAGAAUUCAGUGAAUCAUCGAAUCUUUGAACGCACAUUGCGCCCGCUAGUAUUCUAGCGGGCAUGCCUGUUCGAGCGUCAUUUCAACCCUCAGGCCCAGCUUGGCGUUGGGGAUCGGCGCGGCCCCUCCGGGGGCUGCCGGCCCCGAAAACUAGUGGCGGUCUCGCUGUAGUCCUCCUCUGCGCAGUAGCUAACACUCGCACUGGAACGCGGCGCGGCCAUGCCGUAAAACAACCCACUUCUGAAAGUUGACCUCGGAUCAGGUAGGAAUACCCGCUGAACUUAAGCAUAUCAAUAAGCGGAGGA
rnacentral:misc_RNA from 1 species